AAGUCGAACGAAGUAGCAAUACUUAGUGGCAGACGGGUGAGUAACAUGUAGGUAUCUUCCCAUUGGUGAGGAAUAACACGAGGAAACUUGUGCUAAUACCUCAUAAGUCUUUACGGAGAAAGCUUUAUGCGCCGAUGGAUGAGCCUGCACUUGAUUAGUUUGUUGGUAGGGUAAUGGCCUACCAAGACAAUGAUCAAUAGCUGAUUUGAGAGGAUGAUCAGCCACAUUGGGACUGAGACACGGCCCAAACUCCUACGGGAGGCAGCAGUAGGGAAUCUUGCACAAUGGGGGAAACCCUGAUGCAGCGAUGCCGCGUGAGUGAAGAAGGCCUUUGGGUUGUAAAGCUCUUUCGUCGGGGAAGAAAAUGACUGUACCCGAAUAAGAAGGUCCGGCUAACUUCGUGCCAGCAGCCGCGGUAAUACGAAGGGACCUAGCGUAGUUCGGAAUUACUGGGCUUAAAGAGUUCGUAGGUGGUUAAAAAAGUUGGUGGUGAAAUCCCAGAGCUUAAACUCUGGAACUGCCAUCAAAACUUUUUAGCUAGAGUAUGAUAGAGGAAAGCAGAAUUUCUAGUGUAGA
rnacentral:rRNA from 1 species